rnacentral:rRNA from 1 species
UACGGGGGGGGCAAGCGUUGUUCGGAAUUACUGGGCGUAAAGGGCUCGUAGGCGGCCAACUAAGUCAGACGUGAAAUCCCUCGGCUUAACCGGGGAACUGCGUCUGAUACUGGAUGGCUUGAGAUUGGGAGAGGGAUGCGGAAUUCCAGGUGUAGCGGUGAAAUGCGUAGAUAUCUGGAGGAACACCCGUGGCGAAGGCGGCCGGCUGGGCCGUUCCUGACGCUGAGGCGCGAAGGCGUGGGGAGCGAACGGG